AUGUGAAAGCCUUGGGCUCAACCGAAGAAGUGCAUUGGAAACUGGGAGACUUGAGUGCAGAAGAGGACAGUGGAACUCCAUGUGUAGCGGUGAAAUGCGUAGAUAUAUGGAAGAACACCAGUGGCGAAGGCGGCUGUCUGGUCUGCAACUGACGCUGAGGCUCGAAAGCAUGGGUAGCGAACAGGAUUAGAUACCCUGGUAGUCCAUGCCGUAAACGAUGAUUACUAAGUGUUGGAGGGUUUCCGCCCUUCAGUGCUGCAGCUAACGCAUUAAGUAAUCCGCCUGGGGAGUACGACCGCAAGGUUGAAACUCAAAAGAAUUGACGGGGGCCCGCACAAGCGGUGGAGCAUGUGGUUUAAUUCGAAGCUACGCGAAGAACCUUACCAGGUCUUGACAUCUUCUGACAGUCUAAGAGAUUAGAGGUUCCCUUCGGGGACAGAAUGACAGGUGGUGCAUGGUUGUCGUCAGCUCGUGUCGUGAGAUGUUGGGUUAAGUCCCGCAACGAGCGCAACCCUUAUUACUAGUUGCCAGCAUUAAGUUGGGCACUCUAGUGAGACUGCCGGUGACAAACCGGAGGAAGGUGGGGACGACGUCAAAUCAUCAUGCCCCUUAUGACCUGGGCUACACACGUGCUACAAUGGAUGGUACAACGAGUCGCGAAACCGCGAGGUUAAGCUAAUCUCUUAAAACCAUUCUCAGUUCGGACUGUAGGCUGCAACUCGCCUACACGAAGUCGGAAUCGCUAGUAAUCGCGGAUCAGCAUGCCGCGGUGAAUACGUUCCCGGGCCUUGUACACACCGCCCGUCACACCAUGAGAGUUUGUAACACCCAAAGCCGGUGGGGUAACCUUUAGGAGCUAGCCGUCUA
rnacentral:rRNA from 1 species